CCAAUAGCGUAUAUUAAAGUUGUUGCAGUUAAAAAGCUCGUAGUUGAAUUUCGGGAUUGACACAUCGGUCGUGCCUUAAGGGGUAUGAACUGGUGUAGUCAAUUUCUCACCUUCUGGAGAACCGCGAUGCCCUUAAUUGGGUGUCACGGGGAACCAGGACCUUUACUUUGAAAAAAUUAGAGUGUUUAAAGCAGGCAUUUUGCUUGAAUACAUUAGCAUGGAAUAAUAAAAUAGGACGGCAUGAUUCUAUUUUGUUGGUUUCUAGGAUCACCGUAAUGAUUAAUAGGGAUAGUUGGGGGCAUUAGUUUUCAAUUGUCAGAGGUGAAAUUCUUGGAUUUAUUGAAGACUAACUACUGCGAAAGCAUUUGCCAAGGAUGUUUUCAUUAAUCAAGAACGAAAGUUAGGGGAUCGAAGACGAUCAGAUACCGUCGUAGUCUUAACCAUAAACUAUGCCGACUAGGAAUCAGACGAUGUUAAUUUUUUAAUGACUCGUUUGGCACCUUACG
rnacentral:rRNA from 1 species